rnacentral:lncRNA from 12 species
AUUUUAUCAGGGUUACUUUUCCUUGUCUUCACAUAUUAAUUUACUUGCUUUUUUUCUUCUAGGCAGGUGGAAUCUAUAUGUGAUGACAGGAGCAGUAGUAGCCACCUUGGAGUCAAAAAUUAAUGUCACAUCUGGAGGGUGAUCCCAUCAUCCGAUCUUUUUUCUGUUACAAGAUCUUUCACAUUGGAGCAUAUUUACUUGCCUCAUUAUUUUCGAUACAUAUUCCUCCAUGGUAUGUGAAGUGAAAGACUAUCUCAUUCCAAUAACUCAGAUCAAAGCAUGGGCACGGCCUCUGUAUUCUCCAUAAGGCACUUCUCAUGGUGAUAUUUGAUUCAAGCUGAUUCUGAAUGGAAUGGAAUUUAAUGCACGGGAGGAAAAGAAUCCUUGACAGAAGCCAGCUGUGAAUGAAAGGAGCAAUGAAUGGAAACAGUGACAGGAAAUCAGUAGUGAUACUGCCAGGAAGAGCUAAGUAUAGAAGAGAUUCACACUUAUGUUGUUUAUACCAUUCCUGCAAAUACCUAUAGACAUUUUACCAACCAGCCCUUUCCCCAAAAGGUCCAGAGUUUCCCCGAUAAGGAGAUGAGUCUAUCUAUAAGACUAGCUUACUCUAGAUAAUACGGUUAUAACCAUUUCCCACUUCUUUACUUCUAGUUUUUGUAAAAGUGUUAAAUUGUUCUACCCAGUACACUUCCUGGCCCUACCCUUCUUAAAUCUAGAAUCGUGCUUGAAAGAAUCCUGUACUUCUUUGAGAGUCAAUUUUAUCAUCUGUUAAAAAAGAAGAUGAUAGCACCCUGUAUUAGUUGUCCUAAAAGAUCAAACUAUAUAAAGCAGAAGUGCUUCACAAGGAUGCAAAGCAUUAUACUGAUAUAGGGUAUGUUUAGAGAGGUGACU